GCUUCUCACAAUCCAAAUUCCUCCUUAGUUCUAGUUUGAUUAGGAAACGUUCGCUAAUCAAAUACUAGUUAACAAGUUGCCAAGGAACGUCCUUGGGGCCUUUGGCAUCGAACAACUGUUGACUGCAUUAAAACUUAGAGAAACCCAAUUCUAUCCUUGCCAACCGCGUGGUCAAGUUUAGAUUAUGCAAUUUGAUUAAAUGUGUAUUUGAACAACCUAAGCAAUUACGGACCUAAAUCAUUCAAACAAUAUUACUUAAGCAAUUUAAAAGCAAUGGGCCCUUAUUGAUUCUAAAAGCAAAGUAAUAAUUAUGGAUAGAUCAAAUUGCAUAAAUAUUGAAAAUAAAUAGAAGUUUAACAAUGGAUAUUUAAAUCUCCCAAUUCAUCACAAAAUCUGAAAUUCACCAACUUCAACUAGAAAAGAAGUAAAUUAGCCACUCAUGGUGGACUAAAUACACAAAAGAUGAAAAGAAAGGAAAGAAAGAAGCUGCAGAGUUUCUGGCGAGGGGAGAAGAUGCUGAGUAGCUGAUCAGAAGAUGCCCCUUGCUGGUUUGGAGGUUGCUCUUUUAUAGCUGAAGAAUUCCAUCCUUCUAGGGUUUUGAAAUCCCUUUUUAAUUUGGCUUGUGAUUCCUCUUUUGAUGUUGAAUUUAAUUGCAACUGGAAUUCCUUAAGUGAGAAACUCUUUCGUGGCUCUUGGAAUUGUUUUGGUAGUGAUUGAGUUGGAUUUGGACUUCUGAAAACUCAAAAUUCGGUUUCCU
rnacentral:lncRNA from 1 species